rnacentral:lncRNA from 1 species
UGUUUUUAAAAAAUUCUUGUGUUCUUGGAAAACAGGAACUCAUUGCAACAGAUGAGAAACAAAUUGAAGGGUUAAAAACGUUUUUAAUUUCAAGUGUUAAUUAAAAGAUAGUCUUGUUAAAAAUAUCACCUGAGAAUAACAGAAAAAUCAUAAUUUAGAGGUGGAAGAAACCUUCUUAUUAAAACAAAAAAACCCGAGAAACCGGGGGCACAGACAAGGCAGGCUCCUAUAGAUUUUUUUCUUUGAAUAAGAAAAAAGGUCUAUCUAUUUAUUUGAAAGGCAGAGUUACAGGCACACAGAGAGAGCAAGCGUGCUUCAUCCACAGAUUCACUCCCAAAAUGGCUGAAACAACUAGGGCUGGGCCAGAAGCCUGGAACUACACCUGGGUCUCCCAUGUGGGUGCAGGGGCCCACGCACCUGGGCCGUCCUCAUCUGCUUUCCCAGGCCAUUAGCAGGGCGCUGGAUGGGAAGUGGGGCAGCCAGGAACUGAACCCGUGCUCCUAUAGGACGCUGGCAUUGCAGGUGGCAGCUUAACCCACCGUACCCGGAACGUCCCAGGGAAACACCCAUUGCCCACUGUCAGUAGUGUUAAACAGGAGACGCCUUCAGCGUUUAAAUUUAUCAGGGCUUGAGCAGAUCACCACGCCAAGAACGGGACAGGUAGGUAGCAAGAACUCCCGCGCAGCGCUGGGUCAGUCUGUAUUUAUGGAGAGGAGAGAAAGGGAGGGGGAAAGCUCCACUUAAUUGGCUGCGCUCAUUGGCAUCAGCUGGCCGCAGCGGCCGCUGUAAAUAACCAACACUCAGCGGGAGUGUCUUCCCUAGUCGCUUCAGUUUCAUUUACAAGUAGCUUAGGGCUGCCAUUGGUUUGCCCUGUGGGGCCCAGUACCGGAGUCCAGUCCCAAUCGAUGGCCUUCUACAAGUUUUAUUUAACAGUAGCAAAGAAGCUGUUUACUGCCAGAUUUACACAUGCAAAGUCAAGUCACCUAUUGACAGAACUCCGAAGGUGGACUUGCUCUAGAACCGUGCUGUGUGGAGGGCAGGAGCCAGAGAUGAAAUCGGAAAUAACUAGGAUCCUGGUUGGAACGCUUUGGUGAAGUGCAUUGAGGAAUUCGAUCCUUAUCCUAAAGACAACAAAAAAGGAAGGCAAUUCCAAAAAUUAGAUCAGAUCUGUGAUUUUAGAAGAGCCAUUGUGGAUGUGCUAUGGACACUGGACAGUGUGUGUGUGUGUGUGUGUGUGUGGAAAGCAGGUAAGAGGCUGUGAGGAAUGUCAGGUGCAGGGGUGGCUCUGGGGGAGGCCCUGUGCAUGGGCGUAACAGGUGUUACGGAGGGGGCAUGGAGCCGGCUGGGGAGUGAGGACCAGGAGGAAGUCAGCAAGAUGCCGUGGGUUUGGCUCGAGUACCUGUGGCUGGUGGCCUUGUGUACCAAAACAGGAUCCCUGGGGAGGAGUC